UGUGUGUGUGUGCGUGUGUGUGUCUGUGUGUGUGUGUGUGUGUGUGUGUGUGUGUACACACACAGACACACACACACACACACACACACACACACACACACACACACACACACACACACCCACAUAGGUUCAUAGGUUGGUAAUAGGCUAUCGACCCUGGGGCCUAUACAAGCCUAGCCAUAA